GACUGGUUUAAGGGUAGUGAGUUAUCACAAUUGACUGUUCACGGUUACAGAUGAACUCCUUGUUCUACUACUUCCCCCUUCUCACUAAGGCACUUGAACAGUCAAAC
ensembl:misc_RNA Y_RNA Y RNA